rnacentral:misc_RNA from 1 species
UCUCCGUAGGUGAACCUGCGGAGGGAUCAUUACAGAGUUCAUGCCCUACCGGGUAGAUCUCCCACCCUAUGUUAUUAUUACUUUGUUGCUUUGGCGGGCCGCCGCUUCGGCGUUGGCUCCGGCUGACUGCGCCCGCCAGAGGACCACAACUCUUUUGUUUAGUAAUGUCUGAGUACUAUAUAAUAGUUAAAACUUUCAACAACGGAUCUCUUGGUUCUGGCGUCGAUGAAGAACGCAGC